rnacentral:lncRNA from 1 species
GCGGAGCUAGGAUUUUUUUGAGGGGGUUGAACUUUUACGGGGGUUCGGGGGCGGUAGCCCCUGGGAUAUUUUUUUUUAGGCCUUCAAUACAUUUUAGACAUUUUCUUUUUUUUUUUUUUACUAAAAUACAAAUAUAAUUAGUAAUAACUCUGCAUUCCAAAUACAAAAUGUGUACGUUCAAUUUUUUUAUUUAAUUAAGAAUUGAGGUAAAUGAUUGAUUAACUGAUGGGCUCGAUCAAAAGAAUGAAAA